rnacentral:rRNA from 1 species
GCNAUAACUGCAGUCGAGCGAUGGAUUAAGAGCUUGCUCUUAUGAAGUUAGCGGCGGACGGNNGAGUAACACGUGGGUAACCUGCCCAUAAGACUGGGAUAACUCCGGGAAACCGGGGCUAAUACCGGAUAACAUUUUGAACCGCAUGGUUCGAAAUUGAAAGGCGGCUUCGGCUGUCACUUAUGGAUGGACCCGCGUCGCAUUAGCUAGUUGGUGAGGUAACGGCUCACCAAGGCAACGAUGCGUAGCCGACCUGAGAGGGUGAUCGGCCACACUGGGACUGAGACACGGCCCAGACUCCUACGGGAGGCAGCAGUAGGGAAUCUUCCGCAAUGGACGAAAGUCUGACGGAGCAACGCCGCGUGAGUGAUGAAGGCUUUCGGGUCGUAAAACUCUGUUGUUAGGGAAGAACAAGUGCUAGUUGAAUAAGCUGGCACCUUGACGGUACCUAACCAGAAAGCCACGGCUAACUACGUGCCAGCAGCCGCGGUAAUACGUAGGUGGCAAGCGUUAUCCGGAAUUAUUGGGCGUAAAGCGCGCGCAGGUGGUUUCUUAAGUCUGAUGUGAAAGCCCACGGCUCAACCGUGGAGGGUCAUUGGAAACUGGGAGACUUGAGUGCAGAAGAGGAAAGUGGAAUUCCAUGUGUAGCGGUGAAAUGCGUAAAGAUAUGGAGGAACACCAGUGGCGAAGGCGACUUUCUGGUCUGUAACUGACACUGAGGCGCGAAAGCGUGGGGAGCAANCAGGAUUAGAUACCCUGGUAGUCCACGCCGUAANCGAUGAGUGCUANNUGUNNNAGGGUUUCCGCCCUUUAGUGCUGAAGUUAACGCAUUANNCACUCCGCCUGGGGAGUACGGCCGCNNG